GACGAACGCUGGCGGCGUGCUUAACACAUGCAAGUCGAACGGAAAGGCCUCUUUCGGGGGGUACUCGAGUGGCGAACGGGUGAGUAACACGUGAGUAACCUGCCCUUGACUUUGGGAUAACUUCAGGAAACUGGGGCUAUUACCGGAUAGGAGCUCCUGCUGCAUGGUGGGGGUUGGAAAGUUUCGGCGGUUGGGGAUGGACUCGCGGCUUAUCAGCUUGUUGGUGGGGUAGUGGCUUACCAAGGCUUUGACGGGUAGCCGGCCUGAGAGGGUGACCGGCCACAUUGGGACUGAGAUACGGCCCAGACUCCUACGGGAGGCAGCAGUGGGGAAUAUUGCACAAUGGGUGGAAGCCUGAUGCAGCAACGCCGUGUGCGGGAUGACGGCCUUCGGGUUGGAAACCGCUUUCGCUCAUGACGAAGCUUUGUGUGACGGUAGUGGGUAAAGAAGCACCGGCUAACUACGUG
rnacentral:rRNA from 1 species